UACGUAGGGCGCAAGCGUUAUCCGGAAUUAUUGGGCGUAAAGAGCUCGUAGGCGGUUUGUAGCGUCUGCCGUGAAAGUCCGGGGCUCAACUCCGGAUCUGCGGUGGGUACGGGCAGACUAGAGUGAUGUAGGGGAGACUGGAAUUCCUGGUGUAGCGGUGAAAUGCGCAGAUAUCAGGAGGAACACCGAUGGCGAAGGCAGGUCUCUGGGCAUUAACUGACGCUGAGGAGCGAAAGCAUGGGGAGCGAACAGG
rnacentral:rRNA from 1 species